AGUUGUUUGCCCACAUCAGACAACAUUUUCCAGUUUUGGGCUCCUUCGAGAUGUACAGGUCGAUAAAGGAAGCCUUCCCUCUACCUUCUGCCUUUCCCAAAUGCCAGAGUUGUGGUCUCAAUUGCUGCAGCCAAGCAUUUUAACAUGUAGUUUUGUCUCCAUGUGUACCUCGGCUUACCUUGCAACCGGUAAGGAUGUGUCUGAGAGAAGCAGGAGAUGAACAUAGGGGACAUGAUGGAUCUUCCCCCAACCACGGCUGGAGGUUAUUGGGUGAAAGCAGGACAUCAUAGGUUGCCCUGAGCAUGAAGCUGAUUGUAUUUGCCUCCAUCUCCCACAAUUCCCACCAGCUAAUCCAGCUUCUCUGUUCUCUUCAAGUUUGCCCACUGUCCCUGCUGAGCUUGAGUGACUGCUUUAGCAUGCCUUGCUGCCUCCUCCUGAUGCUGGACUUCCAGGAUUACCAGUUUUUGCCACUCUGAAGGUGUAGCCUUUUUCCACCGGAGUCUGCCCUGACACAGACCCAAACCUCCUCUUUCCUGUUCUACAUGUCCCACAAUGUCGGCAUGCUGGAGUGAUGAUUUUGCCUGUCAUCCUUUUUCCAUCCUGAUGUUAGAUGUGGUCCUGCGCAUCUGUAUUGAUCUAUCUCAGGACUCUGAGAGAGUCAUUUCUAGCCUUACUUUAGUGCAUUUGAACUCCUCUACCAGACUUGAGAUGAGCAACUUGAGAAUUCUGUGUCCAUACAGAAGGAUUGUGGAACACCUAAUCAUUUCCUCACAUAGGAGCUUAUUCUCUCCAUCUUCUCCACUUUUGUGAGGGUGAUGUCAACCAUGGAGUCUUUGAUGAACAGAAAGUUCAAACAUGUCUACUUUCAUGUUUCUAUUGGUCUCCAGAUAUGACUGAUCCCUCCUGUGAUACUUUUUGUGAUUUUUAAAAAAAAAUGUUUAGUGAAUCCAGUUAGUAGUCACUUGAUCAUUGAUACAGAAAAUACUCAGUGCCAAAACUGAAACCAAUAUUUUGAGUCCAAGGCAGGAGAUGCUGUUUACAGGAAAUGUAAUUAUAGAAAUGUCUGGAAAGGUCAGAUUGAAACUUAUAAGAGAAGUGAAAAGUUGUUCCUGUGAAAGUCUGCUAGUAAACAAUCUUGCGCUGUAGGAUAAAUGAACCUCUAUGCUGUUCAGGGCGUGACUGUAUGGCUGUGAAUGGUCGUAUUGAUUUUUGUGCCAGUCCUUAUCUGUGGUAUACUAAACUUGUGACCUAAAUAGGACCUAAAUACUGUUUACUUUUAUAAAGUAACACAUUGAACUACAGCCAAUAAAGUGGGCACAGCGCUGCAAUUGCAAAA